ACGCCCGUAGCUCAGGGGAUAGAGCAACGGACUUCUAAUCCGUGUGUCGGAGGUUCGAUUCCUCCCGGGCGUGCCA
rnacentral:tRNA from 1 species